rnacentral:rRNA from 1 species
CCUACGGGAGGCAGCAGUGAGGAAUAUUGGUCAAUGGUCGGGAGACUGAACCAGCCAAGCCGCGUGAGGGAUGAAGGUACAGAGUAUCGUAAACCUCUUUUGUCAGGGAACAAAGGCGGGGACGUGUCCCCGGAUGAGUGUAUCUGAAGAAAAAGCAUCGGCUAACUACGUGCAAGCAGCGGCGGUAAUACGGAGGAUGCGAGCGUUAACGGGAUUUAGGGGGUUUAAUGGGUCCGCGGGCGGUCUGUUAAGUCCGCGGUCAAGGCACGGGGCUCAACCCCGGACCGCCGUUGAAACUGGCAGUCUCGAGUUGGAGAGAAGUAUGCGGAAUGCGCGGUGUAGCGGUGAAAUGCAUAGAUAUCGCGCAGAACUCCGAUUGCGAAGGCAGCAUGCCGGCUCCACACUGACGCUGAGGCACGAAAGCGUGGGUAUCGAACAGGAUUAGAUACCCUUGUAGUC